rnacentral:rRNA from 1 species
CGUGUCGUGAGAUGUUCGGUUAAGUCCCGUAACGAGCGCAACCCUUGUCCUUAGUUACCAGCACGUAAUGGUGGGCACUCUAAGGAGACUGCCGGUGACAAACCGGAGGAAGGUGGGGAUGACGUCAAGUCAUCAUGGCCCUUACGGCCUGGGCUACACACGUGCUACAAUGGUCGGUACAAAGGGUUGCCAAGCCGCGAGGUGGAGCUAAUCCCAUAAAACCGAUCGUAGUCCGGAUCGCAGUCUGCAACUCGACUGCGUGAAGUCGGAAUCGCUAGUAAUCGUGAAUCAGAAUGUCACGGUGAAUACGUUCCCGGGCCUU